GAAAUCAAUUCAGAAUUUACAAGUGAUAUGGAUGUCGAAAUUUUCAUUUCGCUUCUUCGGCAACGAUCUGUGCUGCGGAACAAAUUCGGUGAUACAAGUUGCUGCACGAAGGUAAGCAAUGGUCACAGGCGCACGAGAUCAUCAUGGAGCAUAUUGCCGUGGACUGUGUUAUCAACGAUUCGCUACUGAACGAGUUCGAUGAUGUCAAACAAAUUUCCAACUGGUUAAUCAAGGGGCAUGUUUUGAGUGAGCUUAUCGAGACUUUAUGAGGUGUUUAGUUUGUGACAAUUUGACCUGACUCGAGACGCGAUCGACUACGAGGUGGACGUGGCUCGGCUCGAGGAUCUCAAGCCCUAAAUGUCCGAUCUGUGAUCGGUGAUCGAGAUGUUUCCCUGUCCGACGCCGAAGCAUCGGUUCUGUCAGAGCGAAAUCACCCAAUAUAUCUGAGUCGGACAUUCUUUGCCCAAGAUCCGCGUAUAAAUAGCUGUGCGUAGAUUCACGCUCGAGUAGCUACUCCUGCCCCAGGAGUACGUGCUCGAUAAAUUGCGGUAUAUGCUGAGCGCGUUUCUGGGCGAGGACCUGCGUAAACAGCAAUGAGAUAGAGUUCGAAGGAAAAUUAUGACGUUAUUUUUAUCAUAAAGAUUGUCAGUGCAAUGGUGAAAUAAAUAAAAAACAUAAAAAUAUGGGCACACAAUACAU